rnacentral:lncRNA from 1 species
CGGCUGAUUUGUGAUUUUACCAUCUUAACUGAAAUUUUCAUAUUGAACACAUUUGACCAUUCAGUAUGAGUUCCCAUGUUUUUUGUCUUAUAUGAAGGAGGUUUUAGGUCAUGUUUUCCUAAACACCUUAUUGCUAUUUGUCUGUCUGGAUUGUUAAAACCACAAAAUCAGAUAGUGAUGAAUAUGCAAGUUUUCAACAAUCCCGGAAAUUACACUUUAUUUAAUUAUCGCUAUUUAGUCCAAUCUGGGAAAAACAGUCAUACACUGUAUGUACA